GACGAACGCUGGCGGCGUGCUUAACACAUGCAAGUCGAACGGAAAGGCCCUGCUUUUGUGGGGUGCUCGAGUGGCGAACGGGUGAGUAACACGUGAGUAACCUGCCCUUGACUUUGGGAUAACUUCAGGAAACUGGGGCUAAUACCGGAUAGGAGCUCCUGCUGCAUGGUGGGGGUUGGAAAGUUUCGGCGGUUGGGGAUGGACUCGCGGCUUAGCAGCUUGUUGGUGGGGUAGUGGCUUACCAAGGCUUUGACGGGUAGCCGGCCUGAGAGGGUGACCGGCCACAUUGGGACUGAGAUACGGCCCAGACUCCUACGGGAGGCAGCAGUGGGGAAUAUUGCACAAUGGGCGGAAGCCUGAUGCAGCAACGCCGCGUGCGGGAUGACGGCCUUCGUGUUGUAAACCGCUUUCGCCUGUGACGAAGCGUGAGUGACGGUAAUGGGUAAAGAAGCACCGGCUAACUACGUG
rnacentral:rRNA from 1 species